rnacentral:rRNA from 1 species
UAAAGCGAGCGCAGGCGGAAAAAUAAGUCUAAUGUGAAAGCCCUCGGCUUAACCGAGGAACUGCAUCGGAAACUGUUUUUCUUGAGUGCAGAAGAGGAGAGUGGAACUCCAUGUGUAGCGGUGGAAUGCGUAGAUAUAUGGAAGAACACCAGUGGCGAAGGCGGCUCUCUGGUCUGCAACUGACGCUGAGGCUCGAAAGCAUGGGUAGCGAACAGGAUUAGAUACCCUGGUAGUCCAUGCCGUAAACGAUGAGUGCUAAGUGUUGGGAGGUUUCCGCCUCUCAGUGCUGCASUAACGCAUUAAGCACUCCCCCUGGGGAGUACGACCGCAAGGUUGAAACUCAAAGGAAUUGACGGGGGCCCGCACAAGCGGUGGAGCAUGUGGUUUAAUUCGAAGCAACGCGAAGAACCUUACCAGGUCUUGACAUCUAGUGCCAUUUGUAGAGAUACAAAGUUCUUCGGGGACGCUAAGACAGGUGGUGCAUGGCU